CGGUUCCUACCAACCGUUCUUAUUGCUGGCGGCCUGAGGAGCCCAUCAUGGCGACGCCCCCUAAGCGGCGGGCGGUGGAGGCCACGGGGGAGAAAGUGCUGCGCUACGAGACCUUCAUCAGUGACGUGCUGCAGCGGGACUUGCGAAAGGUGCUGGACCAUCGAGACAAGGUAUAUGAGCAGCUGGCCAAAUACCUUCAACUGAGAAAUGUCAUUGAGCGACUCCAGGUAAAGACUAUCGGAUUGGGUACCAUUUUUUUGGUAUGUGUGGGCAAGGGAGGGAAAUGGGAAGAGAGACUCCAGACCCAACCCUGUCACCUGACCUAAGAGUUCACCACUGACCCCUACCUCUUUUUCCCUGGCCCCACAGGAAGCUAAGCACUCGGAGUUAUAUAUGCAGGUGGAUUUGGGCUGUAACUUCUUCGUUGACACAGUGGUGUGAGUGUCUACCCGCCCCUCUGAGCCCACAGGGUUCAGCUUACCCCUUCCCUCAUGCAACAUAUAUUUUUUUGAGUAUCUUCUAUGUACCAGGCACUAUGCGAGGUUUUAUAUCCCAGUAGGAUAUAAGCUAGGUGCUGGGGAUGUGACAGUGAAUAAAAUAGGACAAAAUCCCUGCCUUCCCAGAGCCUCAAUUUGGGGAAGGGUGGGGAGCAAAACAUAAACUAUGCUAAACAGUGAUAAGGACUUCUCCCCACUUCCUCUAACCUCUCUUUCCUCAGCCCAGAUACUUCACGCAUCUAUGUGGCCCUGGGAUAUGGUUUUUUCCUGGAGUUGACACUGGCAGAAGCUCUCAAGUUCAUUGAUCGUAAGAGCUCUCUCCUCACAGAGUAAGUCCAUUCCAUGAGGAUAGUGUGUAAAAACACCACCAUUUCCAACACUCUUCUCCCUUUACCCA
rnacentral:sRNA from 1 species